GGGAAAAUAGCUCAGUGGUAGAGCAUCGGUUUCUUAAACUCAAAGGCGUGGGUUCGAUCUCCGGCUUCCCCG
rfam:Aphanomyces astaci strain APO3 cont1.1400, whole genome shotgun sequence.